GGCGGCGCGCACGCUGCGCUCCUUCCCCUGGCAGGGGGGCGGCGGGCGAGCGGAGAGGCCCGCGGGGCUCGCGGGAGUCCAGGGGCAGACGGGAUGGGUCUCCGUGCUGAAACCCCCGGCGCUCCUGCCACGUGAGUUCCUGGGCUCUCCCCGGUCAGGGCCGCGAGACCCGGUCCCCGUCCCUGGGGCCUGGCCAGAGUCGCUCGCACCCCUCCUGCCCCGCGAGCUGGCGGCGGAAGAUGAGGGCGUCUCCACCGCCUUGGGGGGGCAGACGCGUGCUCGGUGUGGGGUACAGUUCACGAUCAUUUUCACGACUUUUUAAAGAGCUUAGAAGCAAAGUUAAGAGACUCAUCAGAUUCUGAGCUGCUGCGGGAUAUUUUGCAGAAGACUGUGAAGCAUCCUGUGUGUGUGUGAAGCACCCGCCGUCAGUCAAGAAAGCCCGGUGCUUUCUCUCAGAACUCAUCAAAAAGUAACCUGAAGCUUUCACCGUAGACGUGCUGUAUUGCCCAGAAGCCAUCGUGUCGCUGGUCGGGAUCCUGCGGAGGCUGGCUGCCUGCUGGGAGCACCAGCAGUCUCCUGAGGUCUACGUGGCCUUUACCGUCCACAACCCAGAGACGUGCCAGCUGUUCACCACCGAGCUAGGCCGGGCUGGGAUCAUAUGGGAAGCGGAAGCUCAUCAUGACCAGAAACUGUUUCCCUAUGGAGAGCACUUGGAGAUGGCAAUGCUGAACCUCACACUGUAGGACUCACACACGACUCCAACGGGAUUGUGAGAAUCAAGUCAAUCUCAUGGGAAGAAUUUUUAUAUGGGAAAGCGGAUAAAACUUUCAUUGUACUGGAAUGUUUGGAGAAUGUUAAAUUCCAAAUCAGAAACCACAAACUGCCCUCUAAUAAGACAUCGGCUAUCUAAGCGUGUGGGUGCCCCCUUUCUGCCAGCAGUUCUGGUUCUUACGAAAAUCACCAUAUAUCAGACAUGAAAAUUCUGGCUUUGUGCAGAUAAAAAAGUGUGUAUCAAGUAUGACGUUCCCCCAAUGUGGACACACUUGGUUCCUCAGAAAGCCAAGCCCACUGCAGCUGCCACAUCCCUGGACACACUCGGUUCCUCACAAAGCCAAGCCCGCUGCAGCUGUCACAUCCCUGGACACACUCGGUUCCUCACAAAGCCAAGCCCACUGCAGCUGCCACAUCCCUGAGCCUAUGGUGCAGCAGGUGCUUUUUUCAAGACAGGGAUCAAAGUGUUAGGAACACGGCAGAAAGGUGACACCUGGAGACCAAAUGCAGGAUGAGGAGUACUGCAGAGGUCACAGGGAAGUCAGAGAACAGUAAUACGCUAACAGGGGCACGGGGCAUGAAGAACAAAAGACAGGAAGCGUUUCAGAGACUCCAAAGAAGAAAUCAGGGCCAACCACAGCUUCCCGGGUCAUUCACCAGGUGGCACCACUGCCGUCAUUUCAGCUUCUGGCCACUGGGAGGCGCUGCUCGAAAGGGUUUGCCCUGACACUCCAAGAAGCUGCGGGAAGGACAGCAGGGGCCCUGGGGUUUUAGCCUCUGGCCCAGGAGUUAUGUGUCCAUAACCAAAGGGAGCACAGUCUGCACCCAGCUCUCAUCCCAUCAGAGCUGCUGCGACUCCUGCAGGUUCUUCCGGAACUGGUUUAGCUUGCCUGCAGGAUCAGGAAAGUUUGAGAAAAGCAUCUGCAAAAUACUAAAGAGCAGAGCUUACCUCAUUGCCUGUCCCCACCCCAUCCCAGGUCACCACCUGGCUGACCCCAGGUCCCCGACCCAACAACAACCCCUCCCAAGUCCCUAACUCCCUCACUUGGACUUGAGACCCUUCACACCCCAGCAGCGCUCCGCCUCCCACUUGACAUCAUGCUUUCUGGAAACUUCCCCGUAUGUCCCACUUUCCCACACUUGGUGCCCUGGAGCACCUUCCGGCCUCUACAUGCUGUACGUUCCCCUGUGAGCACCCUCCUCUCGGCCUCUGGCCAACACAGUCCCACCCAUCUGUGGGUAACAAGGGGGAGUGGGUGUUCUUUUCAGCCUUGCUAAACUCUCUGAAUCAAGGAUCACAAACUACAGCCUGCAGGCCAAAUCCAGCCCACAGCCUGUGUUUGUAAAUAAAGCUUUAUUGGAAGAAAGCCACACCCCUUAA
ensembl:lncRNA FAM86DP family with sequence similarity 86 member D, pseudogene